UACGUAGGGUGCGAGCGUUGUCCGGAAUUAUUGGGCGUAAAGAGCUCGUAGGCGGUUUGUCACGUCUGCUGUGAAAUCCCGAGGCUCAACCUCGGGCCUGCAGUGGGUACGGGCAGACUGGAGUGCGGUAGGGGAGAAUGGAAUUCCUGGUGUAGCGGUGGAAUGCGCAGAUAUCAGGAGGAACACCGAUGGCGAAGGCAGUUCUCUGGGCCGUAACUGACGCUGAGGCGCGAAAGCGUGGGGAGCAAACAGG
rnacentral:rRNA from 1 species